UAGGGAAUAUUAGUAAUGGGCGAAAGCCUGAACUAGCAACGCCGCGUGUGCGAAGAAGGCCUUCGGGUUGUAAAGCACUUUUUGAGAGGAUGAGGAAGGACGGUACUCUCAGAAUAAGUCUCGGCUAACUACGUGCCAGCAGCCGCGGUAACACGUAGGAGGCGAACGUUAUCCGGAUUUACUGGGCGUAAAGCGCGUGUAGGUGGUUUGGUAAGUAGGGCGUGAAAGCUCCUGGCUCAACUGGGAGAGGCCGUUCUAAACUGCCGAACUAGAGGAUGGUAGAGGGAGGUGGAAUUCCGGGUGUAGCGGUGGAAUGCGCAGAUAUCCGGAGGAACACCAGUGGCGAAAGCGGCCCCUGGACCACUCCUGACACUCGGACGCGAAAGCUAGGGUAGCAAACGG
rnacentral:rRNA from 1 species